UACGUAGGAGGCGAGCGUUGUCCGGAGUUACUGGGCGUAAAGCGUCCGCAGGCGGUCCAUCAAGUUCGGGGUGACAGUUCCUGGCUUAACCAGGAAAGUGCUUCGAAAACUGGUGGACUUGAGGGCUUCAGAGGAAGGCGGAAUUCCGGGUGGAGUGGUGAAAUGCGUAGAUAUCCGGAGGAACACCAAUGGCGUAGGCAGCCUUCUGGGGAGCACCUGACGCUCAGGGACGAAAGCCAGGGGAGCAAACGGG
rnacentral:rRNA from 1 species